rnacentral:rRNA from 1 species
GACGAACGCUGGCGGCGUGCUUAACACAUGCAAGUCGAACGGAAAGGCCCUGCUUUUGUGGGGUGCUCGAGUGGCGAACGGGUGAGUAACACGUGAGUAACCUGCCCUUGACUUUGGGAUAACUUCAGGAAACUGGGGCUAAUACCGGAUAGGAGCUCCUGCUGCAUGGUGGGGGUUGGAAAGUUUCGGCGGUUGGGGAUGGACUCGCGGCUUAUCAGCUUGUUGGUGGGGUAGUGGCUUACCAAGGCUUUGACGGGUAGCCGGCCUGGGAGGGUGACCGGCCACAUGGGGACUGAGAUACGGCCCAGACUCCUACGGGAGGCAGCAGUGGGGAAUAUUGCACAAUGGGCGGAAGCCUGAUGCAGCAACGCCGCGUGCGGGAUGACGGCCUGCGGGUUGUAAACCGCUUUCGCCUGUGACGAAGCGUGAGUGACGGUAAUGGGUAAAGAAGCACCGGCUAACUACGUG